AUUGAACGCUGGCGGCAGGCCUAAUACAUGCAAGUCGGACGGUAACAGGAGGAAGCUUGCUUCCUUGCUGACGAGUGGCGGACGGGUGAGUAAGAUUUGGGAAACUGCCUGAUAGGAGGGGGACAACAGCUGGAAACGGCUGCUAAUACCGCAUACACCCUGAGGGGGAAAGCAGCAAUGCGCUAUCAGAUGUGCCCAAACGGGAUUAGCUGGUAGGUGAGGUAAAGGCUCACCUAGGCGACGAUCUCUAGCUGGUCUGAGAGGAUGAUCAGCCACAUUGGGACUGAGACACGGCCCAGACUCC
rnacentral:rRNA from 1 species